ACCGCGAGCUUUAAGAGGGCGACUAGUCGCGAGGAGUAGACCCGACACCGGCGCGAUCUAUCCCUGGCCAGGUUGAAGAUUAGGUAGUACUAAUUGGUGGACCGAACCCAAUACUGUUGCAAAAGUAUGGGAUGAGCUGUGGAUCGGAGUGAAAGGCUAAUCAAGCUCGGAGAUAGCUGGUUCUCCCCGAAAACUAUUUAGGUAGUGCCUCGUGUAUAACUCAUUGGGGUAAAGCACUGUU
rnacentral:rRNA from 1 species